GACAAAGUGUAAAAAUUAUCAUAUAGGGCGAGCGCGUCGGAUCGCUUCUUUUCCUUCUUUUAAACGAGCUCGCUAUCCAUUCCAAGUUAGGGUUUAACAGGUAUCUACUCAAAACCUCUCUCACGUUCUGCGAAGAGGGAAACAAGCGCUCAAGUUUUCCACAGCCAUGGCGAGCACCAAAGUCCAAAGAAUCAUGACCCAACCCAUCAACCUGAUCUUCAGGUUUCUCCAAAGUAAAGCUCGCAUUCAGAUUUGGCUUUUUGAGCAGAAAGAUUUGAGGAUUGAAGGCCGAAUCAUUGGCUUUGAUGAGUACAUGAAUUUGGUUCUCGAUGAUGCUGAAGAAGUCAACAUCAAGAAAAAGAGCAGAAAGUCAUUAGGAAGGAUACUUCUUAAAGGAGACAAUAUAACUCUUAUGAUGAAUAGUGGAAAGUGAUGACCAUCUCAGUAGUUACGUGAACUAGCAUUACAAAUUUUCUGAAAUUCACGUAGGCCAAGCCACUCGACUCUACUGUGCUAUCUUUAAAACAUACCUUAACCUUUCAUAUAUUAUAAGCCACCUCACAGAAGCUUAUUUUUGUUUUUCAAACAGUUACUGGGCUUGCUUUGUUUAUCCAGUGAUUGACAUGUAUGAUUCUGCCCUUUGAUCUGUAUUGUUUAGAUUUCUGAUUAAGUCAGCUUCAGAAAAUCUUCCUUGAGCAUCUGUGGUCUGCAUUUUUUAUGUUAUUUUGAUCCACUUUUUAUCUAGUUUUGUCCUGCUUUAUCAGUUGGUCUUUUGGGAAAUUAUUGGCCUGUUCGUAUCUUGGAUCAAAAGAUUUUUGCUGGAGUUCUUUGAUUUGUGUUUCAGUCAGUUUUUCAUAAUCUCAAAUUGGUGAGCAUUCUUCAAUUUUCCUUGAUAUGCAUUACUGUGCAAUGUGGUGCAUCCAUUUGGAGGAAUUUCUGGCAACAAAAGUUGGUAUGGGAGGAUGUAUGAAGGAGUUCAGGGCAGUCAAACUGUUGUGUCAAUAAGAUGUGGGUGUAUUUCCACAUUUUACUAGCAUCCAUGGCCACUGCUUAUUAUUUUUCUUCCUUUUCGUAUUUUAACUUUUUUUUUUCUCAAAUUCGAUGUGCAUGGUACCAUGAAUAUGAGGAUUGAUAGGAUCUAGCCAACUACUACUACCAGUAAUCUGCCUGAGUUUUCACAAGCUUAUCAUUGGUGAUUUGUUCUGUAUGAAUUUGGCUUUAGUUAUGAUCCAAGUGUUGCCUAUGAUAGCAGAUUGUGCUGUUUCUGUGGUUUGGUUUGCUUAGUAGCAAGUUUGAUUCAGUUGGUAGAACAUAUGGUUCAAGUGAACUUUGUUGACAUUGCCAAUAGGAUUAUAGUAGUUGUUCAUAGAUAGUUCAGUGUCCUUUAUUCUGGUCAAUUGAUUUCUUGACCAAGAAGCUGAUGCUCUGCUUGUUGUGAGCAUAGGUAGGAUAGGGGUGCCGACAUCUAGUGUCUCUAAUCUUGCCAGGCACAGAAGCUCUUCGAAUGUAAAUGUGUGGGGAGCAAUAAACCAAUUCUUGCUAAUCGAAAGAUAUGAUCAGUCAAAUUAUCAUGUUCAAAUAAUCAUUGCUUUAUUCUCAGUGGGACUGCAUCAACAAAGUCAUUGCUAAGAAUCUAAGAUAUCCCCUUUCUUUUGUUGCUCCAGUCUGGACUCUCUCACAAUGCCCAAGGGGUAGGACACCCCCCUUGUCCCCCCCUUUAAUGUCCAAUUCAUUGGUGUAGGUGACAACUUCCUAUAUACGUUUUAAGGAGUUAGAUUGCUAAGCAUUUGCUACUAGAGGCAGUAGUUUUACUUUUGUGGUCAACUGAGGGGCAAAAAAGGUGGGAAACAUAAAAAAUGAAGAAGGGGAAAAGGAAAAAUAAAAAAAAGGAGAUACGUUAGGUUAAUUUUAUGUAAUCACCUCCAAGCAUAGGUGGUGAUGUUCAGAUUUCAUGGGAUUAGACGGUAGUGGAGUUCGUUACUGCAUUUUUUGGGAAACAGUCUGGGAAUUGAGCUCUGAAUUUAUCAUCAGUGUUCUUUAGCUUAUGUAAGUUAAUAAAAAAUUAUAAGCAAGGUUUUACCAGCUGCGUAGAUGUGCGUCACUUUUAACGGGUUAUGUAAAGAAGGAAUAAAAAUGGAAAAGGUUGAAAGGGACGGUCAUCCAGUGGGCGAAGGUGAGUGGGUGAGCUUCCUUUGUGACCGCUGCUGGUUAGCAAGGCCAGGGUGUAGGAAGGAAGUGACAAGGGAAGGAACGCUAGUGGGAUUGUGGGUGGUGGGGGCCAAUGGCUCUGUUUGUUGUGCACCCGUGUCUCCAGGGAAUCAAUUUGUGAACUCUGUCUAUGCAUUAGGAAGCAAGUGCUUUGAACCAUCUGGUUCUUUUGGUCACUACCCUUCACUGAUUACUGACUCAGCCUCCACAGAUUUCAUAUCUUAGCUCACAACCGCAUGUUUCCUGUUGCAAAUAAUUGCCCUGACAUCAACAUUAUAAGUGGGAGAGCCUUGAAGUUAAGGAUUUAGAUGACCGGUGCAAUGAAGUGGUUGGUUGGGCGAGAAUUAUGGAGUAAUAAAGUCAAUUCCUAGAAAAUUAGAGCAGUAUGAAUCUGGCCAAUCCCAGGUUAGAUUGAUGCAUAGUCGUUGGAAGGAUUAUGAGUCAUGAUGUUUACAGUCGGAGGAAAAGUUGAUAUUUGAGUCAAAUUCUGGUUUUUCUA